rnacentral:rRNA from 1 species
UACGUAGGGGGCAAGCGUUGUCCGGAUUUAUUGGGCGUAAAGAGCGUGUAGGCGGCUGGGUAGGUCCGUUGUGAAAACUCGAGGCUCAACCUCGAGACGCCGAUGGAAACCCCCCGGCUAGAGUCCGGAAGAGGAGAGUGGAAUUCCUGGUGUAGCAGUGAAAUGCGUAGAUAUCAGGAGGAAUACCGAUGGCGAAGGCAGGUCUCUGGGCUGACACUGACGCUCAUGCACGAAAGCGUGGGGAGCAAACAGG